AAUAUUGUUGAUUCUUAAGGUCCCGAGAGUAAGUUCUCUAACUUGCUGUUCAAUCGGGUUAAAAGGGAAGCUGGUGUAAAUCCAGUACGGUCCCGCCACUGUGUAACAGGGAAUAUCCUUAUAUGUCACUGUUCUGCCCUAAGGUAGAAUGGGAAGGCUAGGAUAUGAUUUACCUGUAAGUCAGGAGACCUGCCUUAUGAGAAGAAUGACG
rnacentral:ncRNA from 2 species